rnacentral:lncRNA from 1 species
GAACUUUUUAGGCACAAAUGAGGAAAUAACAUAGAAAGACUUGGAGGCUUCGCCCACAUAAGGCAGGAGAUCACUCCAAGUAAACGGACCUCCCUGAUGGUGGCUUCCCCCGUUCCCUGUAACUGCCUGUGACUGAUGAGCCAUCAGCAGGGAUGGGAGGGAUGGAGCCUCGGACAUCAUUUACUCACUUCUGCUUGUUAAAUAACUCAGGACCUGGGGCCGCUUCUCAGGGCUGGGGCUGAGUCUCCGUGCCCACCGUGGUGCUGGGCAUAUUUGCUGUCUCUGGGGAGACAGAUGCGAAGCAGAAAGGCAGAAGGAAAAGCUGUCAGCCCAGGCGCUCCUGCCAUCCCACGCCGGCCUGCAGGCCACCGCCCUCUGCCCAUCCCGGAAGGACGUGUUUUCCUCUUAAAUACCUGAGUCAAGGGGCUGGGGUGCAUCUUUCCCUCCGCCCUCUUGCUGAGCUGCGUGGCUGCAUUGAGGGGAUUUUUCUGUCUCUGCCAUUAAACAAAUCCUGGCAGGCUAAUUAGCUGUGGGAAGUUUCAGGUGCUUUCAUUUUCAAAAGAAGUCAAAACAAGCACAUAUUAUGCUUGGAACAAGCCUAGCUUUCUAAUGAAAAGAGACUGCAACUGGAUCAUCAAACAAACGUAAACAAAUAGAUCAAUAAAUGUGCAUGCAUA